rnacentral:rRNA from 1 species
GACGAACGCUGGCGGCAUGCUUAACACAUGCAAGUCGAGGGAUAGCAAUAUCACUGGCGGACGGGUGAGUAACACGUAGGUGAUCUGCCCCUAUCACAGACAUAACGUCGGGAAACCGGCGCUAAUAUCUGAUGAGGUCGAGAGAUCAAAGCCUUUGGGCGGAUAGGGAUGAGCCUGCGUCUGAUUAGCUAGUUGGUGAGGUAACGGCUCACCAAGGCCACGAUCAGUAGCUGGUCUGAGAGGACGAACAGCCACACUGGAACUGAGACACGGUCCAGACUCCUACGGGAGGCAGCAGUGAGGAAUAUUGGUCAAUGGGAGCAAUCCUGAUCCAGCCAUGCCGCGUGAGUGAAGAAGGCC